rnacentral:tRNA from 1 species
GAUCCCGUAGCUUAAUUGGAUAGAGCAUCAGAUUGCGGAUCUGAAGGUUGGUGGUUCGAAUCCACUCGGGAUCACAA